UACGUAGGGGGCGAGCGUUGUCCGGAUUCAUUGGGCGUAAAGCGCGCGUAGGCGGCCCCGCAAGUCGGCCGUGAAAUCUCCGGGCUCAACUCGGAGGGGUCGGGCGAGACUGCGGAGCUCGAAGUGGGCAGAGGGCAGUGGAAUUCCGGGUGUAGUGGUGGAAUGCGUAGAGAUCCGGAGGAACACCAGUGGCGAAGGCGGCUGCCUGGGCCUGGCCUGACGCUGAGGCGCGAAAGCGUGGGGAGCGAGCCGG
rnacentral:rRNA from 1 species